rnacentral:rRNA from 1 species
AGCGAACGCUGGCGGCAGGCUUAACACAUGCAAGUCGAGCGGACCUUCCGGGGUCAGCGGCGGACGGGUGAGUAACGCGUGGGAACGUGCCUUCCGGUUCGGAAUAACACUGGGAAGCUAGGGCUAAUACCGGAUACGCCACUAUGGGGAAAGGUUUACUGCCGGAAGAUCGGCCCGCGUCCGUUUAGCUAGGUGGUGGGGUAACGGCCUACCAAGGCGACGAUCAGUAGCUGGUCAGAGAGGAUGAUCAGCCACACUGGGACUGGGACACGGCCCAGACUCCUACGGGAGGCAGCAGUGGGGAAUAUUGGACAAUGGGCGCAGGCCUGAUCCAGCCAUGCCGCGUGAGUGAUGAAGGCCUUAGGGUUGUAAAGCUCUUUUAUCCGGGACGAUAAUGACGGUACCGGAGGAAUAAGCCCCGGCUAACUUCGUG